rnacentral:rRNA from 1 species
UACGUAGGGUGCAAGCGUUGUCCGGAAUUAUUGGGCGUAAAGAGCUUGUAGGCGGUUUGUCGCGUCUGCUGUGAAAUUUCGGGGCUCAACCCGGAACUUGCAGUGGGUACGGGCAGACUAGAGUGUGGUAGGGGAGACUGGAAUUCCUGGUGUAGCGGUGAAAUGCGCAGAUAUCAGGAGGAACACCGAUGGCGAAGGCAGGUCUCUGGGCCAUAAUGGACGCUGAGAAGCGAAAGCAUGGGGAGCGAACAGG